GGGAAUAUUGGACAAUGGGGGGAACCCUGAUCCAGCGACGCCGCGUGAGUGAAGAAGUAUUUCGGUAUGUAAAGCUCUAUCAGCAGGGAAGAAAGAAAUGACGGUACCUGACUAAGAAGCCCCGGCUAACUAUGUGCCAGCAGCCGCGGUAAUACAUAGGGGGCAAGCGUUAUCCGGAAUUAUUGGGUGUAAAGGGUGCGUAGACGGAAGAACAAGUUGGUUGUGAAAUCCCUCGGCUCAACUGAGGAACUGCAACCAAAACUAUUCUCCUUGAGUGUCGGAGAGGAAAGUGGAAUUCCUAGUGUAGCGGUGAAAUGCGUAGAUAUUAGGAGGAACACCAGUGGCGAAGGCGACUUUCUGGACGAUAACUGACGUUGAGGCACGAAAGUGUGGGGAGCAAACAGG
rnacentral:rRNA from 1 species